GAGGAGGACGCCGAAGGUGGGGCUAAUGACUGGGGUGAAGUCGUAACAAGGUAGCCGUACCGGAAGGUGCGGCUGGAUCACCUCCUAACAGGGAGACAACAAAAUGUUUAAUAUUAUUUUGUCACCUUAGGUCGAUCGGUAUCUCACAUCCUUAAAUUUUUGAGGAUUUUAUUUCCUAAGUUUUUUCUAGGUCACACCCAUUAUUUUUCCUGGGCCAUUAGCUCAGGUGGUUAGAGCGCACCCCUGAUAAGGGUGAGGUCCCUGGUUCAAGUCCAGGAUGGCCCAUAUCUCUAUGUUGGGGGUAUAGCUCAGUUGGUAGAGCGCCUGCUUUGCAAGCAGGAUGUCAGCGGUUCGAGUCCGCUUACCUCCACUGAUCACCACCUCUUUCAUAUUUUGAAGAAAGGAAAUGUUUUGAGUUGUGAUCAAAUUCUGAACGAAUCUAGCUUCCUAAUGAGCAUCAUUAAGAUGCUGGACUCAUUGAAUUAAUUUCAUUGUUUUCAGAGAACCUUGACAACUGCAUAGAUUAUUUUUAAAGACAAUAAGCAUCUUUAAUGAUGCAGAUUUAUUAUUUGUGCAAAUGCAUUAAUAACAAUUCUAUUAAGCUGAUGCUUCAAUUUUGAAGUUAUUGGUCAAGCUACAAAGGGCUCACGGAGGAUACCUAGGCACACAGAGGCG
rnacentral:misc_RNA from 1 species